AUGCUGGGCGUGCUGCUGGAGGACUUGCUGAUGCAGGUCGCGACGAAGCCAACCGCGAAGGAGGUAUGGGACUCCCUCAAGGUUCGCUUCGUCGGUGUUGAUCGGGUGCGGGCGGUGAGGCUCGGGACGCUGCGUGGCAAGUUCAAUCGCCUGCGGAUGGACGACGGUGACAAGCUGGACGACCACGCCGGGAAGGUCAGCGGCAUGGCGGCGAGGUACAGAUUGCUCGUCUCGACACUUGACCAUGCGGCCAUGAUAAAGAAGCUGCUCGACACCGUGCCUGACCGCAUGUACGCCGCGGUGGCCGGAAUCGAGCAAUUCUGCAACAUGGAGAAUAUGGCGUUCGAGGAGGCGCUCGAACGGUUGAAGGCGUUCGAGGAGCGGACGCGGCGGCGCAUGCAGGCCGGCGGCGAGCGCGCGGACGGGCAACUAAUGAUGAUGGCAGCACAGUGGGUGGCUCGGGAGCGACAGCAAGGUGGACGAGGCUUCAGCGACCACGACAAUGACGGCGUGGCAAGCAGAGCGUCGGGCAAUGGAGGGAAGCGCCAUGGACGCUGCUGCAAAUGCGGGGAGCACGGGCACUUCCGGCGCGAGUGCCCACAGCUGCGGAAAGGACCAGCGACAGAGCAGGCUCUCGUGACCGACGCCAACGUCGACGAUGACGGACUCCUCUAG
rnacentral:rRNA from 1 species